rnacentral:rRNA from 1 species
UACGGGGGGGCAAGCGUUGUUCGGAAUUACUGGGCGUAAAGGGCUCGUAGGCGGCCAACUAAGUCCGACGUGAAAUCCCAAGGCUUAACCUUGGAACUGCGUCGGAUACUGGAUGGCUUGAAUUCGGGAGAGGGAUGCAGAAUUCCAGGUGUAGCGGUGAAAUGCGUAGAUAUCUGGAGGAAUACCGGUGGCGAAGGCGGCAUCCUGGACCGACAUUGACGCUGAAAACCGAAAGCUAGGGGAGCAAACGGG